rnacentral:rRNA from 1 species
UACGUAGGGACCGAGCGUUGUCCGGAUUCAUUGGGCGUAAAGCGCACGUAGGCGGAUUGCUAAGUCAGGGGUGAAAUCCUGGAGCUCAACUCCAGAACUGCCUUUGAUACUGGCGAUCUCGAGUCCGGGAGAGGUGAGUGGAACUGCGAGUGUAGAGGUGAAAUUCGUAGAUAUUCGCAAGAACACCAGUGGCGAAGGCGGACUCACUGGCCCGGUACUGACGCUGAGGUGCGAAAGCGUGGG